CCUACGGGAGGCAGCAGUGGGGAAUUUUGGACAAUGGGCGAAAGCCUGAUCCAGCCAUUCCGCGUGAGUGAAGAAGGCCUUCGGGUUGUAAAGCUCUUUCGCAAGGGAAGAAAACUUAUAUUCUAAUAAAGUAUGAGGAUGACGGUACCUUGAUAAGAAGCACCGGCUAACUACGUGCCAGCAGCCGCGGUAAUACGUAGGGUGCGAGCGUUAAUCGGAAUUACUGGGCGUAAAGCGUGCGCAGGCGGUUUUGAAAGUCAGAUGUGAAAUCCCCGAGCUCAACUUGGGAACUGCGUUUGAAACUCCAAAGCUAGAGUAUAGGAGAGGGGGGUAGAAUUCCACGUGUAGCAGUGAAAUGCGUAGAGAUGUGGAGGAAUACCAAUGGCGAAGGCAGCCCCCUGGCCUAAUACUGACGCUCAUGCACGAAAGCGUGGGGAGCAAACAGGAUUAGAUACCCUGGUAGUCCACGCCCUAAACGAUGUCUACUAGUUGUUGGUGGAGUAAAACUCCAUUAGUAACGCAGCUAACGCGUGAAGUAGACCGCCUGGGGAAGUCGGUCGCAAGNUUAAACUUNAAGAUUGNGNGNGNGNGNGCGAGNGNAGAGGAGAG
rnacentral:rRNA from 1 species